rnacentral:rRNA from 1 species
CCCGCUGAACUUAAGCAUAUCAAUAAGCGGAGGAAAAGAAACCAACCGGGAUUGCCUUAGUAACGGCGAGUGAAGCGGCAACAGCUCAAAUUUGAAAUCUGGCUUUCGGGCCCGAAUUGUAAUUGGCAGAGGAUGCAUUGGGGGCGGCCCCGUCCUAAGUCCGCUGGAACGCGGCGUCCUAGAGGGUGAGAAUCCCGUUAUGGGCGGUGUCCGCUCCCAUGUGAUGCUCCUUCGACGAGUCGAGUUGUUUGGGAAUGCAGCUCUAAAUGGGUGGUAUAUUUCAUCUAAAGCUAAAUAUUGGCCAGAGACCGAUAGCGCACAAGUAGAGUGAUCGAAAGAUGAAAAGCACUUUGGAAAGAGAGUUAAACAGUACGUGAAAUUGUUGAAAGGGAAGCGCUUGCAGCCAGACUCGCCCGGGGUGCUCAGCCGUCCUUCGGGGCGGUGUACUCGCCCCCGGGUGGGCCAGCAUCGGUUCGGGCGGCCGGAUAAAGACUUUGGGAACGUGGCUCCCUCCGGGGAGUGUUAUAGCCCAGAGUGUAAUGCGGCCAGCCUGGACCGAGGACCGCGCUUAGGCUAGGAUGUUGGCGUAAUGGCUGCCAGCGACCCGUCUUGAAACACGG